UCCCAAAAGAGAAUAUGUGAAUUACAAAGUUUAUCAAGAGACAAUUAGAGAACAGGUGCAAACGAAGAAGGAAAAAAGCGUAAAGGAAAAUGGCUUAGAACCAGUAAAGAAAAAAAGAAAACCUGGACAGAAUGACAGGAGCACAAGAAAACCAAAAGGAUCAGCAGUGGUGCCAUCUGGGCAAGUCGGAAGGUUUAAAAAUGGGGCAUUACUUCUCAGUGGCAAGGACAUUCAGAAAAUAAAACAAUCCAGAGUCAUUAAAUAAGAACUACUGCAUCAUCCAUGGUCACUGAAAACCAAAAUAAUUGAAGCUUCUGCACUCCAUGUUUCAGGAGCUUCUUCUUUAAUACUGGAUGAGGGGGGAAAGGACAUGUAAUGCUGCUGUUUCAAGAAAUGACUCUGUAAAUUGGUCAUAUGAAAAUUCUGCUCUUCCACUGCACACCUCAUCCUCUCCUCCUCAGUGCACGUGACCCAUCAACAGGCCACAUUUUAAGGAUUACAGUUUUCAACUUUAUUCUGAAAUCAAAUCUGUGAUAUUUAUACAAACCAACCAUUGCCUAUCUUUUCUCUAAACAUGCUGCUUUAUACUUAAGAAGAUAUUGUACAGGGUUUUUAAAAUACUAUUGAACUCA